UGGGGAAUAUUGGACAAUGGGCGAAAGCCUGAUCCAGCCAUGCCGCGUGAGUGACGAAGGCCUUAGGGUUGUAAAGCUCUUUUGGCGGGGAAGAUAAUGACGGUACCCGCAGAAUAAGCUCCGGCUAACUUCGUGCCAGCAGCCGCGGUAAUACGAAGGGAGCUAGCGUUGUUCGGAAUCACUGGGCGUAAAGCGCACGUAGGCGGAUUUGUCAGUCAGGGGUGAAAUCCCGGAGCUCAACCUCGGAACUGCCCUUGAUACAGCAAGUCUUGAGUUCGAGAGAGGUGGGUGGAAUUCCUAGUGUAGAGGUGAAAUUCGUAGAUAUUAGGAAGAACACCGGUGGCGAAGGCGGCCCACUGGCUCGAUACUGACGCUGAGGUGCGAAAGCGUGGGGAGCAAACAGGAUUAGAUACCCAGGUAGUCCCUGAGCGGGCUGGCAAGGCGCAU
rnacentral:rRNA from 1 species